GGGGAUAUAGCUCAGUUGGUAGAGUCCUCCUUGCCUUGCAUGCACAAGGCCCUGGGUUCAAUCCCCAGUACUACCA
rnacentral:tRNA from 1 species